rnacentral:rRNA from 1 species
AUUGAACGCUGGCGGCAGGCCUAACACAUGCAAGUCGAGCGGAUGAAGGGAGCUUGCUCCUGGAUUCAGCGGCGGACGGGUGAGUACUGCCUAGGAAUCUGCCUGGUAGUGGGGGAUAACGUCCGGAAACGGGCGCUAAUACCGCAUACGUCCUGAGGGAGAAAGUGGGGGAUCUUCGGACCUCACGCUAUCAGAUGAGCCUAGGUCGGAUUAGCUAGUUGGUGGGGUAACGGCCUACCCAGGCUACGAUCCGUAACUGGUCUGAAAGGAUGAUCAGUCACACUGGAACUGAGACACGGUCCAGACUCCUACGGGAGGCAGCAGUGGGGAAUAUUGGACAAUGGGCGAAAGCCUAAUCCAGCCAUGCCGCGUGUGUGAAGAAGGUCUUCGGAUUGUAGAGCACUUUAAGUUGGGAGGAAGGGCAGUAAGUUAAUACCUUGCUGUUUUGACGUUACCAACAGAAUAAGCACCGGCUAACUUCGUG